GUUAAGUUAUUAAAAUAUAGAAUUUUUAAAAAAUAUUUAUUUUUUAGGUGUAGAUGGACACAACACAAUGCCUUUAUUUUUAUGUGGUGCUGAGGAUCGAACCCAGGUUCCGCCCGUGCUAGGCGAGCGCUCUACUGCUGAGCUACAAUCCCAGGCCAAAAUAUAGAAUUUUUAAAAAGAGAAAUGAAAACCAAUAGACAUUUGCAGAUAAUGCAUUGAUAUUUAGUGUAUUGUUUUACAUUUUUCAGAGAGAAAGAAACAUUGAAAUCAUGGUCUAAUUCUUGGAGGUAGGAAUUACAUUUAGUGUGGUCUAACCUGGGAUUAUAGGUUUUAUAAUGUGGUAAUUUAAGUCCUCCUCCCAGAAUCAGAUAUGCUUCAUAUAAAGAUCCAAAACCAUGUGUACUACUCUACUCACAGAGUUUUGCUAACAGUAUAGGGGUGGCAGUAAACACAUCAGCUAUAACCAUCAGAGACCCUCCUAAUGCUGGUAGUAAGAACAAUAUUGAUUGAAUUCUUGGUAUAUGUCAGGCACUGAAACCACAACUUUACAUAAAUAACUCAUUUAAUUCUCACAAUAACUCUGUGAAAUAUGUACUAUUAUUAGCCGCAUUUUAUAGAUGGGGGGAUCAAGGGAUAGCUGGAGUAGCAAAGAGAUCCCAGGAACUGAGCUGUCCAGAUGCAAAUCUGAGAGCAGAGAAACCUUAUGUUCAUCACAUUUUGGAGAUAAUUACUCUUAUCAAGAUAGAUAUUUCUUUUUAAAAAAUCUUUAUUUUUCAUUUUUAUGUGGUGCUGAGGAUCGAACCCAGUGCCCCAUGCAUACAAGGCCAGUUGUCUACCACUGAGCCAACCCAAGAUAGAUAUUUCUUUAUGUCAGAAAGUACAAAGGUAUAUAGGGGAUAGGAAUAGGAAAGACAGUGGAAUUAGUCUGACAUAACUUUCCUAUGUACAUAUAUGAAUACACCACAGUGAAUCUUACCACCGUGUACAUCCACAAGACUGAAAUCCUAAUUAAAAUAAAAUAUAUCCCAUGCUUAUAUAAAUAUAUAAGAAUGGAUUGUACUGUCAUGUAUAACUAAAAAGAACUACUAAAAAAUAAACAGAUGCAUUAAUGACAUUUUGGUAGGAAAAAAGAGUAUUAGGAAGCCUAGGCAUGUGGUGGAGAAGGGAAGAAUAGAGGUAGUGGUAUGGGAGUUGAAAGUGAUUAGAGAGGAAAGUAGGGUAUUCAAAGACAAGCUAUAUUUACUGUUCAAGUCAUUGUUUUCUGAAUGAAAAUAAUUAUUUGCUAAAAUUAAAAUAAUUAUAUUUAAAAAAUUUAAAUAAUUUUUAAAAUUAAGAAUGUGAUGAUGACUGAAACUGGGGGAAAUGGACACUCAUAGUUGAUGAAAGAAUAUAAGUUGGACAAAAUCUCUCAAGCUAAUAUGAGUAAGAGUCAAAAAUUUAAAAAGUUUAUUAAAUAUUUGUUGAGUAACUUCUUUGUGCCAAGCAAUAUGCACACUGAAUUCAUUUAAAUAUUAUAUUUAAUGAAUAAAAUUGUCACAGGUCUAAAAGUUGGAUUUGAGUGUAGUAGAAAACUUGUCAUUUUCUUUCAGAAUUCCAAAUGUGCACAUUCCCUUGGACCAACAUUUCCACUAAUAGAAUAAAUAUUCCCCAGGUGUAUAUGCAUUUUUCUAAAUGACAUAUGUCUAAGGUUAUUCUAUGCAGGAUUUUUGUUUACAAUAUAAUAUAUUAGAGAAAAACAAUUUAGAUGAAGAUCUUUAUGUUCUACUGUUCAUUUAAUAUUAGUAAAGCAGGGGAAGCUAAACAAAUGUUGUAUAUAUUUGGAUAUUCAUAUAAUAUAUGUGGGAAAGAACACAUAGAAACUAAUACAAGUUGAAUGAAGUCUAUCUCCCUUUUAUGUUCUUUUAAAAAAAAUUUUUUUAGUUGUAGAUGGACACAAUACCUUUAUUUUAUUAUUUUAUUUAUUUACAUGGUGCUGAGGAUCCAACCCAGUGCCUCACACGUGUAAGGGAAGCAUACUACCACUGAGCCACAAUCCCAGCCCCUCCCUUUUAUGUUCUAAUUGAAGAAUGAUUUAUGGAGCUUAUGUGUACUAGAUAACUGGAAGAAGACUGUUGUUCUGAGAGAGAGGCACAGGAGAGUUUUAGCUCCAAAUCGAAAAGGCAUCUGGGAAGCCAGACAAUAACGACCACAUAUUGUGUUAUUACAUUUAAAAAUAUCCAGAAGAUUGUAACUCCAGCUGUUUGAGAGACUGAGGCAGGAGGAUGGCAAGUUCAAAGCAAGCCUCAGCAAUUUAGCAAGGCCCUGAACAACUUAGUGAGAAUCUGUCUCUAAAUAAAUAAAUAAAUAAAAUAAGUAAAAUGGCUGGGGAUGUGGCUCAGUGAUUAAGUGCCCCUGGGUUCAAUCCUGGGUACCAAAACACAAAAACAAAAACUCAAACAAACAAAACAAAAAAACAAUCCAGAAGAGCAGGCAUGGUGGCACAUGCUUUAGUACCAGCUGCUUGGGAGUCUGAGGCAGGAGCAUUGAGUUGGAGGCCAGCAUGGACCUCCAGGAAAUCGAGAAGAGGCCAAUCUACAGACAAUAAAAGCAUCAAAUGAUUGCUCAGGGCUGGCGAUGAGAAUAUGCAGUGGAUGUAAAUGAGCACUAGGGAUCUUUCUGGGAUAACGGAAAUAUUCGAAAUUUAGAUAGUGUUGAUGGUUGCACAAGUUCACGAGUAUACUGUUGAAUCGUACAAUUUAAGUGGGAGGAUAUUAUGGUAUAUAAAUUAUACCUCAAUAAAGUUGUUAAAAACAAACAAAAAACAAGCCACCAUAUCUAAUAAAAGAAUUUUAAAACAGGACUCUGGACUGUGAAAGAAGAAAGUUGACCAAAGAAUCAAUUGUGAGAGCAGCAGCAACUCCAGGAAACCAAUUGUCAGUGAAAAUAACCUCAGGAUUCAUAGAGAGGCUUUAGUUCUUGGAAAGACUUGCAAAGGUCCAGGCAGGUGCUUUAAUGAUCAGCCCCAAACUCCUGUUCUUCCUCGGUAAUCUCCCCAUCCUCAGAAGUUAUACUUUUAAUAUAAUUAGAACAGGGUGCAAUAUAUGAUAGUGGUGUCUGGUACAAAGUAAGUGUUAAGUAAAUGUCACCUGUUAUUAUCUUUUACAUCCAGAUUAUUAAAACAAGCUCUUUAUUCAAUCUCCUUGUAUUAAGUCUCUCUCAUUCCUCUAGUUCAUCAUUUUACCAGCCACUUGAUAUACCUUACCUCAAAGAACAUGUCACUGCAGCAGGCAAUGCAUGAUGGGCUGGAUUGCUCCCUGAACAAGUCUGGAGAAAUGCUUGGAGACCCCGAGUUACCCAGCAAUGAAUAUCAUUCAUGUUGAACAAAAGCAGGGACUUAAUAAUGUUUAAUUUUACCCAAGGGCCAAUUAAGAAAUACUUUCACUUUUUUGUUUUCUAGGAAACAUUGCAAAGAACCACCCUCUCCCUGUUACUUGGAUAAGACCUCCUUGUUUACCUACAGACGCAGACCCUCCAAAUUCCCAUUCUUUGCCUCCCAAGUGAUUAGAUAAACUGUACUCGCUGACAAAUCAGGACAAUAUACCUGCUCCCUUGAUUUGACUAAAGUUAGUUAAGUUUUUCUGCUUACCCCAGGCCCUUUAAUUUUGACCCAUCCUUGGUUGAGCCAACACACAAUGACUCUUUAAUGGCUCAUUUCUUAGGGGGGAAAAAUUCACUGUCCAAUCCCCAUACUAUUUCAUUCCAGUUCUCCCCUCCUAGUUCUUUCCGUCCUUGUUCAUUUCUCCUUACAAAAGAAUAGCUAACAAUUUAAAUUUAAUUAAAAAAGGAUAGAGAACUGUGUCCUUAAAAGAACAGGAGAGUAGGAUACAGACAUGCAUGUGCAUAGAAGAAUGACCAUGUUUGAGCACAGUUGGAAACUGGACAUCUGCAAGCCAUGAAAAGAGGACUCAGAAAAAACCAAACCUACCAACAUCUGGAUCUCUGUCCUCAAGAACUGUGAGCAAAUAAAAUUCUGUUGUUUAAGCCACCCAGUCUCUGGUAUUUUGUUGUGACAGGCCUAGCAAACUAAGACACUUCUCAAAUUUGUUUGUUAUUCUUACAUAGGAGCACUGUGUAUUGUUUUAUUAUUUAGCAUAUGUGCUGUCAAAGUGAAGAAAUAUACAUGAUUUUUUCAUUUGAAGCUAUGCCCCUCCAUGCCUACAGCUUUUCCUGCUUUAUCUUCAGAUCCCCUUUUUUUCCUUUUGCUUAGUGAACCUCACAGGACAACUUUGAAAUAAAU
rnacentral:lncRNA from 1 species